ensembl:lncRNA
GCCCGAUAGUGGAAGCACGGCUAGUGUGUGUUCCUCUCACUUCUUAGUACAUUGCCUUUGUUCCUCUCUGUUUGUGUGUGUGUGUGUGUGUGUGUGUGUGUGUGUGUGUGUGUGUGUGUGUGUGUGUGUGUGUGUCUGUCAUGUGCAUAUGCCCUUUGUGUUAAGCUUCGAAGAAAAUCAACAAUACAGCCUUUCCUUCCUUUCUCCUUCUGCGUCAUUCUGUGUUUCACACUUCCCUUUUCCAUCGAUUUCCUUUCGUCUCACACACACUUUCUGUGAAGUUCACACACACACACACACACGCACACACACAUGUGCACUCUCACACACAUGCACACACGCGCGCCCACACAAGACAACAAGAAUUUCUGUUUGGUUGGAUGGAAGUUUUGACGGGGUUCCCGCUGAGUUUGCUCUUACUGACACUGGUGGGGGCUGACCAGAGCUGGUUACGGGAGGAGGUGGGUGGAUGUGUGUGACGUCAUGACAAGGCGUGCGCUCACACACAGCACCUCUUGCCUCAGCCAGUUACUCAUUCAACCACCUCUGGGGAACAGUGCUCUCUCUGCUCCAACAUUAUGCAGCGAUUGGCUAAUUUCUUCAAUCCUAUACGACUAAACUUUAACACAGUCUAGUAGCUUGCAAGUGCUACAUUUACGUGCCAGUUAUUCGAUCGACUGAAUAACAGACUGUUAAGACGACAGACAUUCUUCUGAGAAGUCUGAUCUGUUAGAGAUAAGAGAUAAGAGAUAUGGGGGAAUUGCAGGUCAAGGUUUACUUUCCCGUCUGGAUUCCUAAUAAGAUCGCCUGGUUCCUUGAGGUACUGCUUUUGGUGGCAGCUCUCCCUCUCGGCAUGGCCUCCCAGAUCAACCCCACCCAGAUCAACGCCACCUUGGGCCAGUCAGUGUUGCUGCCUUGCCUGCUCCCCCCUCCCCCCCCUCCUCUGACAGUCACCCGGGUCUAUUGGCAGACCGUUGUGCCUGACGGGGACGUGCCGGACCUGCUCCACUUCUUCAACAAGGGUGCGCCGGAGCUCGACCUUCAGGCCUUGCAUUACCAGAACAGGACUUUUAUAGACCCCCGUCAGCUGGCUGCUGGGAACUUCAGCCUGGAGCUGAAGAACGUGACGGAGAAGGACAACCAGACAAUCAUCCACUGCCUUUACUCCACAGAAGACGUCAGCACGGAUGAAGUCUCCCGCUUUACACUGAUGGUGGAGAAGCCUGUUGGUGAGAUGUGGCUGCAUUCGUGGUUCAAUUAUUCAUUCUUUCUUUCUUUCUUUCUUUCUUUCUUUCUACCUUCCUUCCUUCCUUCAAUUAGUAAUUAUUAAUAACUUAAUUAAUAACUUUUUGUGAGUUAUUCAUGUAUGUUUUGAUAAACACACACAUUCACAGCAAUCAUUUACAUAUUGAUUGGAUAAUCUCUCCCCUUUCUCACUCGAUAUCUACAGAUCCAGACCCCCACUCCCUCCCAGCCUGGGCUACUGGUGUGCUGGUGGUUCUUGCCUGUGUCCUGCUGGUCUGUGUGGCUGUCUGCACAGGUGAGGGCCUGUGUCUUCUCUGAUCUUGCCUGUGUGGGUGUCUGCAUAGGUGAAGGCCUGUGUCCUCUCUGUUCUUGUCUGUGUGGCUGUCUUCAUCGCUGAGGGCCUGUGUCUUCUUUGUUCUUUCACAAACUGUAGUUACUGUAGAGUAGCGCAGUGGACCUUAUUCACUAGACCAUGGUGUGGUUUAAUGCAUCUUGCCAGACUCCUGCUCUUGCUCCCGCUCCUGCCUCCACACUCCAGACAUGAUUCUUGAUUCAGUCUGUGUGGUAAAGGCAGGAAGACAGUGUACUUUACUGAAGCAUAAUAACUAAAUACUUUACUUUAAAAUACUUUACUUUAAAAGUGUGUAGGGAUUUUGUCAGUCCUUUCCAUUACAUUUCAAAUCACAUUUAAUAAUAAUGAAGUCCUGCUCAGUAUUACUUUUGUAAAAUUAUUGGCAGCAGUAAAAUAACACUGACCUGCUUAUUGUUAUGAGGCAUACAUAAGAAUGUUGAAUGUUUGUGUUUUCAAAACAGUUCAAAGAGUCCGAAGAUGGAAGAAUGCUAAUCGAAGAGCCAAUCGUGAGAGGGAGAAUGCUAAUGGAGGAGCCAAUCACGAGAGAGAGAAUGCUAACGGAGGAGCCAAUCAUGGGACAGAGAAUGGUGCAGCUUCUGGAACAGAGAAGGAAAAGGGGGUGAAUGGCCCACUGCUGAAGUCGCACACGUAGCUCAUCAUACACACAGCUAUGUGAUUUGUACUGUACCGAUGACUGUAAAAAGUAUGGACUGCAUGGCGUCAAGGUGAGAGU